rnacentral:tRNA from 1 species
GCCCCGCUGGCUCAGUCGGUAGAGCAUGAGGUUCUUGAUCUCAGGGUCAUGAGUUCAAGCCCCACGUUGGGCG